rnacentral:rRNA from 1 species
AUUGAACGCUGGCGGCAGGCCUAACACAUGCAAGUCGAGCGGAUGAAGGGAGCUUGCUCCUGGAUUCAGCGGCGGACGGGUGAGUAAUGCCUAGGAAUCUGCCUGGUAGUGGGGGAUAACGUCCGGAAACGGGCGCUAAUACCGCAUACGUCCUGAGGGAGAAAGUGGGGGAUCUUCGGACCUCACGCUAUCAGAUGAGCCUAGGUCGGAUUAGCUAGUUGGUGGGGUAAAGGCCUACCAAGGCGACGAUCCGUAACUGGUCUGAGAGGAUGAUCAGUCACACUGGAACUGGGACACGGUCCAGACGCCAACGGGAGGCAGAGGUGGGGAAUAUUGGAAAAUGGGCGAAAGCCUGAUCCAGCCAUGCGGCGGGUGUGAAGAAGGUCUUCGGAUUGUAAAGCACUUAAGUUGGGAGGAAGGGCAGUAAGUUAAUACCUUGCUGUUUUGACGUUACCAACAGAAUAAGCACCGGCUAACUUCGUG